rnacentral:rRNA from 1 species
UACGGAGGGUGCAAGCGUUAUCCGGAUUCACUGGGUUUAAAGGGUGCGUAGGUGGGUAAGUAAGUCAGUGGUGAAAUCUCCGGGCUUAACCCGGAAACUGCCAUUGAUACUAUUUGUCUUGAAUACUGUGGAGGUCAGCGGAAUAUGUCAUGUAGCGGUGAAAUGCUUAGAUAUGACAUAGAACACCAAUUGCGAAGGCAGCUGGCUACACAAAUAUUGACACUGAGGCACGAAAAGCGUGGGGAGCAAACAGG